ACUGACAUCGGUUGCUUAGCCUUACGUUGCCCUUCCAAAGAACAUCAGGAAGGCGUUGCGUAACAGUAGUGUUGUGUAAAGCUUGACUUCAAGCCAUCAGUGAAGGGGGAUGCUCUGUAUACUCACUAUAUGUUAAUCAUCUAUGUUAUUCACAUUCUAUGAUUUUAGUAUGAUUAAGCUAAUCUUCACCUAAAUAUCUUCAUUAUUAUCGCACGAGCCCAUGACAGUUGACUAUCUUGGCUGAUUGAUGGUUACAGAUUUCUUAAAUAGAUGAUCUGCAUAUAGAACAACUUAUUCUCCUGUUUUACAGUUUGUUUAAUUCCUUGAACAAUUAAAAAUGUGCCGAGAAAUCUCUAAUCUACAAUAACUUUUGUAGAUAUUUAAUAUUUUGUAUUUGAAGAAGCGUCACAAAGCUUGCUUCAGUUUAUUGAUUUAUUUUGAUUUUAUCCUUGGAUUGUUGACUGCAUUUUUGUUGACUCCUAAAAAUUGAUGGAUUUUGCUCGCAUCAUGCAAUAUUUUAGUCUAAUCUUUGUAGAGGAUGAUUUUUCUUAGAUUAUAAGAUCUUUUAUUUUUGAUUUAUGAAGUCUUGUCUACCCUUAGGGGAUAUUAUGUGUACAAUAACUGAAUUGACUGAUUAAAUCUUUGUUUUCUCAACUUCUUUCUAAAGCACCCUUUUAUGUGCUUUACCUUUUCCGCCUACAUGAUUAUAGUCUUAGAGACAAUUUCUUUGUUAUAGUUUCCUGGUUUUCCUUAUUUAACAUGGUAUAAAUUCUGUUCUUUUACUAUUUGUUAUGCUGGUUCAUUUGUCUCCAAUCUGUAUUAAGUUUUAGCUGUAUGAGAUACAUUACAUCAUUGUUUGUCGUUUGUUUUGGCAGAGAUAAGUAGAUGUUGGAGAUUGAUUCAUACAGGCGUCUGACGUUCCUAAAUGGUUCGUGAGUUUCUUUUGCAGGAAUUAAGGUUCUCUUUCCUUCACUGAGUUCCUUAUCUGGAUGUAGAUCACUCACCUAAUUGGAGAAAUUUUGUCCUACGUUUACCUGUAUUCACCUUUUCGUGGUAUGCUGCUUACUUGAUGCGAUCCGCAGCACAUGAGAUCUUGUACUCUUAUCAGAUGCUUGUAUCUGUCUUUGUAUCUUCGUCAUUUUCGGACAGACCUUGUAUUUAGUGGAGAUCUUGUACUCUUAUUAGAUGAUUGUGAGUUGUGACUAGCUGUGACACCCAUGUUUUGGGAGAGUUUAUGAGACAAUUUUGGUUUUGUGUGGACCCUA